AAGGAAUAGUUGGAGGAGAAGAGAACAUUUAUAAUUGAAUAGUAAAUUCCAUCAAUCCAUGAGAAGAAAAAAUAAAAAAUCUGAAGGCAGAGCAAGUAAUAGAAACAUACUUUUAGGUAGGGCUGGCCACGGUACAGUUCCGAGGGCCCGGGGGACUAAGUCCAGAACCGGACAAAAGGGUCCCCUUGAUUCUGGUUUCAACCUAGUUUGAUCUGGUUCAAGUAUUUUU
rnacentral:misc_RNA from 1 species